AUACGGAGGGUGCAAGCGUUACUCGGAAUCACUGGGCGUAAAGCGCGCGCAGGCGGCUAUUUAAGUUGGAUGUGAAAGCCUACUGCUCAACCGUAGAACUGCAUCCAAAACUAUUUAGCUAGAGUGUGGGAGAGGAAGAUGGAAUUAGUUGUGUAGGGGUAAAAUCCGUAGAGAUAAAUAGGAAUACCAAAAGCGAAGGCAAUCUUCUGGAACACUACUGACGCUGAGGCGCGAAAGCGUGGGGAGCAAACGGGAUUAGAAACCCUAGUAGUCC
rnacentral:rRNA from 1 species